rnacentral:rRNA from 1 species
UACAGAGGUGGCAAGCGUCGUUCGGAAUUACUGGGCGUAAAGGGCGCGUAGGCGGCCUUCUAAGUCAGACGUGAAAUCCCCCGGCUUAACCUGGGAACUGCGUCUGAUACUGGGGGGCUCGAAUGCGGGAGAGGGAUGCAGAAUUCCAGGUGUAGCGGUGAAAUGCGUAGAUAUCUGGAGGAAUACCGGUGGCGAAGGCGGCAUCCUGGACCGACAUUGACGCUGAGGCGCGAAAGCUAGGGUAGCAAACGGG